rnacentral:misc_RNA from 1 species
UCCGACUUAACGUCGGCAGUCCCAUUAGAGUGCCCAACUGAAUGCUGGCAACUAAUGGCAAGGGUUGCGCUCGUUACGGGACUUAACCCAACAUCUCACGACACGAGCUGACGACAGCCAUGCAGCACCUUGCAAAGCGCCCCGAAGGGAAUACCUAUCUCUAGGUACGUCACUAAGCAUUCGAGCCCAGGUAAGGUUUUUCGCGUUGCAUCGAAUUGAACCACAUGCUCCACCGCUUGUGCGGGCCCCCGUCAAUUUCUUUGAGUUUUAAUCUUGCGACCGUACUCCCCAGGCGGAUCACUUAACGCGUUAGCUUCGGCACUGAAGGGGUCAAUACCUCCAACACCAAGUGAUCAUCGUUUACGGCGUGGACUAC